rnacentral:rRNA from 1 species
UACAGAGGGUGCAAGCGUUGUUCGGAAUCAUUGGGCGUAAAGCGCACGUAGGCGGCUUUGCAAGUCAGGUGUGAAAGCCCGGGGCUCAACCCCGGAAGUGCAUUUGAAACUGCAGAGCUUGAGUCUUGGAGAGGGCAGUGGAAUUCCGAGUGUAGAGGUGAAAUUCGUAGAUAUUCGGAGGAACACCAGUGGCGAAGGCGACUGCCUGGACAAAGACUGACGCUGAGGUGCGAAAGCGUGGGGAGCAAACAGG